GACGAACGCUGGCGGCGUGCUUAACACAUGCAAGUCGAACGGAAAGGCCCUGCUUUUGUGGGGUGCUCGAGUGGCGAACGGGUGAGUCACACGUGAGUAACCUGCCCUUGACUUUGGGAUAACUUCAGGAAACUGGGGCUAAUACCGGAUAGGAGCUCCUGCUGCAUGGUGGGGGUUGGAAAGUUUCGGCGGUUGGGGAUGGACUCGCGGCUUAUCAGCUUGUUGGUGGGGUAGUGGCUUACCAAGGCUUUGACGGGUAGCCGGCCUGAGAGGGUGACCGGCCACAUUGGGGCUGAGAUACGGCCCAGACUCCUACGGGAGGCAGCAGUGGGGAAUAUUGCACAAUGGGCGGAAGCCUGAUGCAGCAACGCCGCGUGCGGGAUGACGGCCUUCGGGUUGUAAACCGCUUUCGCCUGUGACGAAGCGUGAGUGACGGUAAUGGGUAAAGAAGCACCGGCUAACUACGUG
rnacentral:rRNA from 1 species